rnacentral:misc_RNA from 1 species
CUCCCUGCUGGCUUGAAACCUGGCUGGGGAAGAUCGAUUCCAGUAAUGCGAAGCUCUGGAGGUCCCCCAGCCCUCAUGGAUAGACCUUGUAUGAGACAGGGCCAUUGGAAACCAUACAAGAUACCAAAAUCAAUUAUGUGUAUCUUUGGUGCUCCAGCAAUGACCUUUCGGAUAUACUUGUUUGCGAAAAUGUUUGACAGCAACUUGAAUGGACAUGCUCUGAUAAAUGCCUUGUAAGCUUUCAAAAUGUUAGCAGCUGAUAUCCUACUGGGUGCGUAGGCUGUAUACAAAGCUGUUCCCGUGCCGGACAGGCGUGCUUCAAGGGCAUUGGCAAGAUAAUGAGCCAACCUCUCCGUCCCAUCGCCAUGAGGUGUAGAGUGUUCUCUUAUCCGCAUCAGCAGCUCAUUAGCUGUUCUGCUAUCAUAGUUUGCCAUGGCCUGCGCACACUGAGUCAACAAAGCCCUCAAAUCCACCAUUUCCUUCUUGACAAUGCUGCUAUGCUUCCUACCACCUCUCGGCCUUCCAACUUUGCUUGUUUUUUUGGCUUCAUUAGGCGGCGAGUAGGAAGUGAUACUAGUAGCACUAUGCUGUUCCACAUAUGGAUUGUUUAAACAAAGCAACACAUUGUCAUACAUUUCCAAUGGUUCAGAUUCAUCAUGAACAAAUGUAGCCAUCUGUUUGUUACUCCUCUGCUGGUCUGCAGCAACAUCUCCUCGAUGUCGAUUUUUCUUUUCCCUCAGACCAGUUGGUGAAUUGCUGCUGCUGCCACUUUGUAACACAUUGACAGCUCCUUCUUCAAAAUGGCCAUUGCCGAAGGAAGUGAAGAAAGAGUCAUGAUUAGAUAAAGUGGACAUGGAAGCAGGGGAUUCGAAAUUAAGAUCCCAUUGAGGUGACUCAAUAGAAUCAGGUGAAUAGUUGCUGAGAAAACUAGAGGAAUCGUGUGGAUUGAUAAUGACAGAUUGUGGGGAAUAGUUG